UGACCCUACUUCUCCGCCCAG
rnacentral:miRNA from 1 species